rnacentral:rRNA from 1 species
UACGAAGGGGGCUAGCGUUGCUCGGAAUUACUGGGCGUAAAGGGAGCGUAGGCGGACUGUUAAGUUAGAGGUGAAAGCCCAGGCUCAACCUUGGAAUUGCCUUUGAUACUGGCAGUCUUGAGUACGGAAGAGGUAUGUGGAACUCCGAGUGUAGAGGUGAAAUUCGUAGAUAUUCGCAAGAACACCAGUGGCGAAGGCGGCUCACUGGCCCGAUACUGACGCUGAGGCACGAAAGCGUGGGGAGCAAACAGG